GUUCACUGACGAUCUGAUAGAGAAGGGGUUCUACAAAAACGUACGCUAACGAUAGAAGCAGGGUGGACGACUGUUGAUGAAACAACCCACACGGCUAGAAUUGUUUAUCCAGCUCAUUCUUCAGCUUAUAAAGUAAGACCUCCUCCUCCGCCGAGGCCCCGAUUGGCCGUAGACGCUCGACAGAAACCAUCUUUGUUCCAGUUGAUGAACUGUCCCUCGCUUUUUGUACGACACUGACGACGAUGAACGUCCGUACCGGCUUGAGAUCGCAGUGGAUGAUCUUCUCCCUGUGCAGCAUCUGCAGAC